AUUCAGCUUAGACUACCCUAACCUAACAAAUGACUGAACUCACAUGGAUUAAACCCAGUCUCUUGCCACUGUCAACCAGAUGGGCUAUAAGGUGAUGGUUGAAGAUAUAUAUAAUCAAUAUUUGACAAUAAUGAAUACGUAUUUUGAUGGAUCAACGGGUGAGUGGUUUCCUUGCUAAGCUUGUCUAGUGAGCAAUCUUUUGCAGUUAACCUUUGUUUCGUUGUCUGUUCGACCUUGAACUAAUUAUGAAUACACUACUUAAUUGAAAUUCCUCUAAAUACUAUCAUCUGAAAAUAACUAAAAUUCGAUUCGUGUUAUAACCUAAUCACCUUUGGUUUUGGCAUCUCUCUCUCUCUCUGUGUGACCAUGUUAAUAUUGGCGCGUGUAUACACAUGUAAUUAUGUAUUAGGUAUAAAGAACUGUAGGAUCUCUUCCCGAAACUUUGAAUUUCACUUGCUAGUGCAAUGAAAAGUUAUGGUGAAGUACAUAAAUUAACUAUAUAGUUAAUUAUAGUACCUUUUUUUUGGGAUCUUCAUCCUUUAUUAUUUUGGGUAAAAUAAAUGAUUCAAUAGAUUUAACAUAUAUAAGAUUUUUAAAACUGGUGAACAUAAAGAUGAAGAUUAUUAAUCAAUCUUGUAGCUUAAUUUUAAUCAAGAUUUGUGAUAUAAUGUUUUAAUCUACGUAUAGACAAGUUAUCGAUCGUCUUCCAAUAGGUUUUUUUUUUUUUUUUUUUUUUUUUUUUUUGAAUGGGUAAGCUUUUAUAAAUGAAUAAAAAAAAACUGUACAACAAAAACCAUAGAGCAACAGGAACAAUUACAAUAAUGAAAAAGGACCAAGCCAAAAGCCACUGCCACACAAUGAAACAGAAAUCAAAUUGUAAACCUUGAGGACUUGAACUCGAGGCAAAAACGGCAACCAUAUACCAUAUGCAAAGCAUCCAACUUCAACUAAGUCUUCCAAUAGUUGUUGAAAUGAAAAGGUGUUUCUAGUUCGUUACCCGAUCAUGAUCAGUACGUAUGAUCUUUCCCCAUAGCCAAAGAAGAUGUGACUAGCUAUAUAUAUUGAUAUAUAUGCGUGAUGAAACUUAAUUUUAUGGCUACGGAAAAUUCUAGGUCUUGAUCUAAAGAUGGGGAUAAUGUUAUCUACGGAGUGUUAGAAAUGGAGGCAUAGAAAUAAAAAGAGAAUUAGGAUUAAUGCAAGUACCUUACGAAUAUUGAACACAAGUUAAUGAUUCUAAUUAAGAUUUUCUUUUUGAUAAUUUUAUAAGUAGGGAUCAUAUAUAUGUGUGUGUGUGUGUGUGUGUGUGUGUGGCUUCAUAUAUUAUGAAGGAGCUUAGGAAUCUCAUGAGAUACAUACCAACCAUACCUAGGAUAUUUGAUGUGUUUAGAAGACAGUUAGAAAGAUUUGGGUGGAAGAGGUACAACUAGUAUCAUAUAUAUUAUAUAUACAUAUGUAUGUAACUGUUUUUCUUGGAAGGAAUUAUACGAAAAUAAGAAGUGUUGUUGACCUCUGACAAGAUUUCACAAAACUUUGCCUAUUAUAGAAGAGAGGAAGAAGAUUUGAUGUGUAAGUAGAAAGUUGGUUGAUAUUUAUACUUCAGGGUGGACUGUGCGUGGUGUCUGUGUGUGUGUGUGUGUUGACUGUGGAGUGUGUGUGUAUGUGUGUGUGUACUGGUUCUUCUUUGUGCACAAUAUUGCCGCUGUUUUAUUAUAAAUGGUGAGACUGGGGCCUACUUAAUUGGUGGAUACCAACAGUAGACAAAAGACACCAGUACGUCGUAUUAAUAUACAGUAUACGUACGACUAUAAGGCCAAAAAAGUUGGAAAGUGUCUCUAGCUUAGCUACUUAACUACCCUACCCCAGCUUCUUGUUAAAUAGUAACAUGGCUGAUACAGCCACGUCAAAUUACUUAAUGACAUUUGUCAAUAUAUAUGUAUAGGUGUUACAAAAAUUAUACAUAUAUGUGUGUGUGUAUAUAUCUGUGUGUGUAUAGUGAACUAGCUAUAUACUCUAUAGUAUAUGUGUUUUUUUUUUUUUUUUUUUUUUU